rnacentral:rRNA from 1 species
CCUACGGGGGGCUGCAGUGAGGAAUAUUGGUCAAUGGGAGAGAUCCUGAACCAGCCAAGCCGCGUGAGGGAAGACGGCCCUAUGGGUUGUAAACCUCUUUUGUCGGAGAACAAAACCCGGGACGUGUCCCGGACUGCGUGUAUCCGAAGAAAAAGCAUCGGCUAACUCCGUGCCAGCAGCCGCGGUAAUACGGGGGAUGCGAGCGUUAUCCGGAUUUAUGGGGGUUAACGGGUGCGUAGGCGGUCCGUUAAGUCAGCGGUAAAAUUGCGGGGCUCAACCCCGUCGAGCCGUUGAAACUGGCAGACUUGAGUUGGCGAGAAGUACGCAGAAUGCGAGGUGUAGCGGUGAAAUGCAUAGAGAUGGCGCAGAACUCCGAUUGCGAAGGCAGCGUACCGGCGCCAGACUGACGCUGAGGCACGAAAGCGUGGGGAGCGAACAGGAUUAGAUACCCUGGUAGUC